GCCUCUUAAGGUAUGCCCCUGGUAAAACUGAAACAAUACAGAGGCGAUCGACAUGGCCUCUGCCAAAGGAUGCUUCACGGGACAUGCGUUUCGAAGUCAUUUUAU